rnacentral:rRNA from 1 species
UACGGAGGGUGCGAGCGUUGUUCGGAAUCACUGGGCGUAAAGCGCGUGUAGGCGGCCUUUUAAGUCUGAUGUGAAAGCCCGGGGCUCACCCCCGGAAGUGCAUUGGAAACUGGGAGGCUAGAGUACCGGAGAGGAAGGUGGAAUUCCUGGUGUAGCGGUGAAAUGCGUAGAUAUCAGGAGGAACACCGGUGGCGAAGGCGGUCUGCUGGGCAGUUUCUGACACUGAGGCGCGACAGCGUGGGGAGCAAACAGG